GUUGGGUAGGGGAGCGUUCUGUAAGCCUGCGAAGGUGUACUGUGAGGUAUGCUGGAGGUAUCAGAAGUGCGAAUGCUGACAUAAGUAACGAUAAUGCGGGUGAAAAACCCGCACGCCGGAAGACCAAGGGUUCCUGUCCAACGUUAAUCGGGGCAGGGUGAGUCGACCCCUAAGGCGAGGCUGAAAAGCGUAGUCGAUGGGAAACGGGUUAAUAUUCCCGUACUGGUGGUAACUGCGAUGGGGGAACGGAGAAGGCUAGGUUGUCCGGGCGACGGUCGUCCCGGUUCAAGCAGGUAGGCAGAGUGAUUAGGCAAAUCCGGUCACUUAAUGCUGAGAUGUGAUGACGAACCACCAAGGUGGUGAAGCAAUUGAUGCCCCGCUUCCAGGAAAAGCCUCUAAGCUUCAGGUUACCAACAAUCGUACCCCAAACCGACACAGGUGGUCAGGUAGAGAAUACUCAGGCGCUUGAGAGAACUCGGGUGAAGGAACUAGGCAAAAUGGUGCCGUAACUUCGGGAGAAGGCACGCUGGCGGUAGGUAAAGUCCCUCGCGGACAGAGCUGAAGCCAGUCGAAGAUACCAGCUGGCUGCAACUGUUUAUUAAAAACACAGCACUGUGCAAACACGAAAGUGGACGUAUACGGUGUGACGCCUGCCCGGUGCUGGAAGGUUAAUUGAUGGGGUUAGCGCAAGCGAAGCUCCUGAUCGAAGCCCCAGUAAACGGCGGCCGUAACUAUAACGGUCCUAAGGUAGCGAAAUUCCUUGUCGGGUAAGUUCCGACCUGCACGAAUGGCGUAAUGAUGGCCAGGCUGUCUCCACCCGAGACUCAGUGAAAUUGAACUCGCUGUGAAGAUGCAGUGUACCCGCGGCAAGACGGAAAGACCCCGUGAACCUUUACUAUAGCUUGACACUGAACAUUGAGCCUUGAUGUGUAGGAUAGGUGGGAGGCUUUGAAGUGUGGACGCCAGUCUGCAUGGAGCCAACCUUGAAAUACCACCCUUUAACGUUUGAUGUUCUAACCUAGGCCCAUAAACUGGGUCGGGGACCGUGUCUGGUGGGUAGUUUGACUGGGGCGGUCUCCUCCUAAAGAGUAACGGAGGAGCACGAAGGUUGGCUAAGCAUGGUCGGACAUCAUGCGGUUAGUGCAAAGGCAUAAGCCAGCUUGACUGCGAGAGUGACGGCUCGAGCAGGUACGAAAGUAGGUCUUAGUGAUCCGGUGGUUCUGAAUGGAAGGGCCAUCGCUCAACGGAUAAAAGGUACUCCGGGGAUAACAGGCUGAUACCGCCCAAGAGUUCAUAUCGACGGCGGUGUUUGGCACCUCGAUGUCGGCUCAUCACAUCCUGGGGCUGAAGUAGGUCCCAAGGGUAUGGCUGUUCGCCAUUUAAAGUGGUACGCGAGCUGGGUUUAGAACGUCGUGAGACAGUUCGGUCCCUAUCUGCCGUGGGCGUUGGAAGAUUGAGAGGGGUUGCUCCUAGUACGAGAGGACCGGAGUGAACGCACCACUGGUGUUCGGGUUGUCAUGCCAAUGGCAUUGCCCGGUAGCUAAGUGCGGAAGAGAUAACCGCUGAAAGCAUCUAAGCGGGAAACUUGCCUCGAGAUGAGUCUUCCCUGUCGCUUUAAGCGACCUAAAGGAACGUUUAAGACUAAGACGUUGAUAGGCUGGGUGUGUAAGCGUAGCGAUACGUUGAGCUAACCAGUACUAAUGAACCGUGAGGCUUAACCUGACAACACCGAAAGUGUUUUG
rnacentral:rRNA from 1 species